rnacentral:rRNA from 1 species
CGUAGGGUGCGAGCGUUAUCCGGAUUUAUUGGGCGUAAAGGGUGCGCAGGCGGCUAUGGGCAGUAGCGCGUGGAAUCUCCCGCUCACCGGGGAGGGGUCGCGCUAUACGACAUAGCUUGGGGCAGGUAGAGGAUCGCGGAACGGGCGGAUAGGGGUGAAAUCCGUAGAGACCGUCCGGAACACCAGUGGCGAAGGCGGCGAUCUGGACCUGAAGGUGGAGCAAUCCACCUGAACCCGACGCUCGGGCACGAAAGCGUGGGUAGCGAACGGAAUUAGAUACUCCGGUAGUCCACGCCCUAAACGAUGUCGACUCGGUGUCGGGGGUAUCGACCCCCCCGGCGCCCCAGCAAACGCGGUAAGUCGACCGCCUGGGGACUACGGCCGCAAGGCUA